rnacentral:rRNA from 1 species
CUACGUGCCAGCAGCCGCGGUAAUACGGAAGGUCCAGGCGUUAUCCGGAUUUAUUGGGUUUAAAGGGAGCGUAGGCUGGAGAUUAAGUGUGUUGUGAAAUGUAGACGCUCAACGUCUGAAUUGCAGCGCAUACUGGUUUCCUUGAGUACGCACAACGUUGGCGGAAUCCGUCGUGUAGCGGUGAAAUGCUUAGAUAUGACGAAGAACUCCGAUUGCGAAGGCAGCUGACGGGAGCGCAACUGACGCUUAAGCUCGAAGGUGCGGGUAUCGAACAGGAUUAGAUACCCUGGUAGUCCGCACAGUAAACGAUGGAUGCCCGCUGUUGGUACCUGGUAUCAGCGGCUAAGCGAAAGCAUUAAGCAUCCCACCUGGGGAGUACGCCGGCAACGGUGAAACUCAAAGGAAUUGACGGGGGCCCGCACAAGCGGAGGAACAUGUGGUUUAAUUCGAUGAUACGCGAGGAACCUUACCCGGGCUUGAA